AGACGUCCACAUUAGAUACCCCCUGUAGUCCCAGCCGUAAACUAUGCGCGUUAGGUGUAUCGGUGACCACGAGUCACCGAGGUGCCGAAGGGAAACCGUGAAACGUGCCGCCUGGGAAGUACGGUCGCAAGGCUGAAACUUAAAGGAAUUGGCGGGGAGCACCACAACGGGUGGAGCCUGCGGUUUAAUUGGACUCAACGCCGGGAAGCUCACCGGAUAAGACAGCGGAAUGAUUGCCGGGCUGAAGACUCUGCAUGACUAGCUG
rnacentral:rRNA from 1 species